CAGCAGCCACGGUAAUACGUAGGGUGCAAGCGUUAAUCGGAAUUACUGGGCGUAAAGCGUGCGCAGGCGGUUUGUUAAGACAGAUGUGAAAUCCCCGGGCUCAACCUGGGAACUGCAUUUGUGACUGGCAGGCUAGAGUAUGGCAGAGGGGGGUGGAAUUCCGCGUGUAGCAGUGAAAUGCGUAGAUAUGCGGAGGAACACCGAUGGCGAAGGCAGCCCCCUGGGCCAAUACUGACGCUCAUGCACGAAAGCGUGGGGAGCAAACAGGAUUAGAUACCCCGUAGUCCCUGUCUCUUAUACA
rnacentral:rRNA from 1 species